GCUCUUCCUUUGCUAGCUAUGCAUGUGUGGAGUCUGGUCACAAUAGGAAACUAGUGGGAAUCCUUAUCCAGAGUUGGUUUCAUGUCAGGUGCCAAGCACAGUCCCUGGGACCUACUGGAGGCUCCGAGAUUAUGCUGAAGACAAUUAAAACCAGACUCUGGAGGCUAGGGGAGUUUCUAAGAAAAAGAUGUCCUUUGGUGACUCCGCUUUGCAGACAUGUCAGCUGUCUAACACUGGCCCCCAGGCAGGACAGAUGAGCGUGACUGCCUCUAGAGCUCCUCAUUUCUCCGCACAGCUUUCCUGCUAGGCUGCUCAGUGACUCACAGCAGGAAGAGAAGGAAUCAGUGCUAAACUGUCCCCUAACACCUCCUUCACCAUGCCUCAAAAAACCAAAAACGACAAAAAACAACUGUUGUUACUUUGGGCUGCCGGGCCCAUCACUUUCUGCAUUUCAGUUCCUUAUUCUGUAGAAAUCGUGAGUUGAAAUGGGAGACCUAAGUUUCCUUCAGGCUCCAAACUUUGAGUCUUCGAUCCUACUGCUGGGCUAUGGUCAGCUCAUCCCCCUGCCCUCCUCCCACUCUGCAGAGUAGAUCAGGCCCGGUUCCCAAGGAACAAGACCUGCACCCACCCCAGCCCCUGGGGCUGCCCUUCUGUAGCAUGUGUUUCUUUGUUGUCUGCCUCUGUGCUCUCCUGCUGUACCCUUCAUUCUGUGGAUCAAGCCUGCUCUCAAUGGCCAUUUUAAUCAGAUUUUAUCUCUGUAAAAAUGGUAAGUGAUAAAUUUAGAACAUUACAUAUGCCAUGAUGCUAUUUAUGUGUUUUAUUUUAAACUUCAUAUGCCGGACUUUUGUCUGCUUGCUCUCAGAUCUAUUCCAGACCAUCCUCUAUCUGGGCUUUGUAUCCUUGGGAACUACAUUUUCCAGGCUCAUUUCCAGACCGGCUAAAGAGAGCCAGUGAUGGACACUGGAGAAUGCAGGAAGGGAAGAAGCCAGGUUAUGUCUCCCUUUCUCUCUGCUUCACAUGUCUGACGGGUCUUGUCCAUGAUUCCACCUGCUGCCAGAUAGCCCCCUCCUCCACUGCUCCAGAUUGAGCUGGAGGUGCUGCCAUGAUCCCAGAUUCUUCCAGGUGACCCAAACUCCUGGCUCUGGUAACUCUGCUUCCUCCCUCUAUCUCUCCAGCCCCAUGGUUGAUAGUGGCUUCCUGCUGCUCUCUGGCCACUGAACUCCUCCACCAUCUGUGUUGAAUUCCCUCUGUUUGCAAUGUCAUAUCUGGCAUGGCUCUGCCUCCUAAUGGUACUCUGACUAAAACACUGUGGAGUUUGUGUCUGGGAAAGGAAUGGGACUGGGCUGAUGUGGAGUUUUGAAGGGGGACCAUGGCUUUUUUAAAAGUAGCUUUAUGUUGGCAUAAUUUACAUAUAAAAGACUGUCGCUUUUA